GUGGGAGCGGGCUUGCUCGCGAAUGCGGUGUGUCAGAAACAGGUGUAUUGACUGACACACCGCAUUCGCGAGCAAGCCCGCUCCCAC
rnacentral:antisense_RNA from 1 species